rnacentral:rRNA from 1 species
GACGAACGAUGGCGGCGUGCCUAAUACAUGCAAGUAGGACGCAGUUGCGAACGGGUGAGUAACGCGUAGGUGACUGCCUAUUAGAGGGGGAUAACUAUUGGAAACGAUAGCUAAUACCGCAUACUAGUAGAUGGACCUGCGUUGUAUUAGCUAGUAGGUAGGGUAAUGGCCUACCUAGGCGACGAUAAAUAGCCGACCGGAGAGGGUGAUCGGCCACACUGGGACUGAGACACGGCCCAGACUCCUACGGGAGGCAGCAGUAGGGAAUCUUCGGCAAUGGGGGGAACCCUGACCGAGCAACGCGGCGGGAGUGAAGAAGGUUUUCGGAUCGUAGAGCUCUGUUGUUAAGGAAGCGGUACUUAACCAGAAAGGGAAGGCUAACUACGUGCCAGCAGCCGCGGUAAUUC